GCCGGCGGGGUGACAAGAGCGGUGACAAAAAGGCGCCAUGUUGUCCCCCAGUACAGACACCCCGGGGGGGGGGGACGGAGGGACCCGGACGCCUGGGUCCCUUCCGGAGGGGGAGGGGCGCGAAGCAGAGGAGGGACCCAGGCGUCCGGGCGGGGACGUUAAGGGCCGAUGCGGAGCAUCCGGAUCGGUGCCACCGCGCGGUGACGAGGAUGGAGGGGGAGGGGACAAUUUUAGGGGGGGGAGUCUGAGGGUCAUGGGACAUCGGGGACCCUCGGGGACGUCCCCAGGGGGGCGAGGGACAGCGUGGUGGCACCAGCCCGGAUGGGGUGACCCCGGGCAGACGGGACAGGGGACACCAGGGACGUAGGACAAGUGUCCCCAAGGACCCGGAGCCACCCCGGGGUGUCAGGAACACGGUAAGGACCUGGGACCGCUCAAGGGACUUGGGACAACCCAACGGACCUGCAUCUUCUGGGCACCUGGCACCACCCCGGGGACCCAAGACAAGUGUCCCCAAGGACCCAGCGUCACCCCCGAGGGACUUGGGGCCACCGCAGGAACCCAGGACAGCUGUCACCAACGAUUUGGGAUCAUCCCAAGGAUCUGGGACCUUCUCGGGGACCUGGGACCAAGUCUCCAAAAAGCGUCUCCAAGGACUUGGGGCCACCCCUCGGACCACCCCAAGGAGGUGGGACCUUCUUGGGGACCUCCAGGGGACCACCGUGGGGACCCGGGACCACCCCGAGGACUCAAGGCCACCCCGCAGCCUCCUGCCCCACGACRAGCUGCCCCAAGGAGCUGGGACAUCUGGGUCCAGCCCCCCGUGCCCACGCGGCCUCCACUUCUCCACCACCACGUGGUUUCCAUCCCUCUCUCCGUCCCUACGUGGUUUUCAUCCAUCCGCACGUGGUCUYUGUCUCUCCGUUUCCGUGUGGUCUUCAUCCCCCUGUGGUCUCCAUCCAUCUUCCCGUUCUUGCAUGUUCUCCGUCCUCGUCUGAUCUCGGUCCGUCUCCAUCCCCACGUGGUCUCCAUCSCUCUWUCCAUCUGUGUGUGAUUUUUGYCCAUCUCUCCAUCCCCAGGUGGUCUCCAUCCCUCUUUCCAUCCCCACGUCUUCAUUUCUUUCUCUAUCCCUCUCUCCUUCCAUCUCUCCAUCCCCACGUUGUCUCCAUGCUUCUCUCCCUCUAUCCCCAUGUCGUCCCCAUCCCUCUUUCCAUCCCCCUGUGGUCUCCGUUUCUUUCUCCAUCCCUCUGUCUUUCCAUCCCCCCGUGGCUUCCAUUCCUCUUUCCAUCCUCCUGUGGUCUCCAUUUCUUUCUCCAUCCCUCUCUCCCUCCAUCCCCACGUGGUCUCCAUCCCACUCUCCAUCCCCACGUGGUCUUCAUUUCUUUCUCUAUCCCUCUCUCCAUCCAUCCCUCCAUCCCCACGUGGUCUUCAUCUUCAUCCCCAUGUGGUCUCCAUCCCUCUUUCCAUCUCCACAUGAUCUCCAUCUGUCUUUCCAUCCCCACGUGGUCUCCAUUUCUUUCCGCAUCCCUCUCUCCCUCCAUCCCCACGUGGUCUCCCCCCAUCCCUCCCUCCACGUGCCCCCCGAAGGCCCCGCGCUCCCGGGAUCCCGCUGCCGCCGGCGCCCCGGUGCUUCUGCCUCGUCUCCACUAGAGGGUGGUGGGAUCCGGCGCUUUCGAGACCCGUUCCCGAGGGGUUUCCGCUCGCGGGGCCUCCGCCGCGAGGUGGUGUUGGGGGCACCCCGAAUUCUCAGGGCUCUCCCCGAAGGACUGGAUCCCCUUCUUGAAGGAAUAGAUCCCUUUGCUGAAGGAACGGAUCCCUUUUUUGGUCUUUUCGUCCCUUUCUCCUCCUCCCGUACCUCCGCCCUCUUCCUCCGUCCGCGUUCACCACCGCUGCCCUUCUGCGGCUCCGUCCCUUCACCUACCCGUGGGUGCGUGGAGGGGAUCUGGGGGGAUCUGGGGGUGCACGGAGCAGAUUGGGGAAGAUCUGCGAAUGCAC
rnacentral:lncRNA from 1 species